rnacentral:lncRNA from 1 species
UAAAUUUGAGAUACGUAUAUACCUUGUAAAUGCCCAAAUUUGACCGGGCUGAACGAGCCCAAAUCACCAAAAACCAAAAUCCAAAAACAAAUAAACAGUCCAUUUUACACAGCCCAAAAUCCAAACCCAUUAACAAACCCAAUUUACAACGGGGCCCAAUGACCCAAAACCUAAACUAAAUUUUAGUAAAUUAGAAAACCCUAGGUCCCUAGGUCCCUAUGCCCCGUUGCCCAUGUGCGAUGUACUAGCAGCCUCCGCACCUUCCGCUUAACCCACGUGCCUUGUCGGCGCAUCCAACGCCCAAGGACUGACCUCUGCCCUAUCCCAUCACUUCCAUCAGCGCCUGCAAAUAGCAACAGAGUACGAGCAGAAACAACAAGCAGUAACAAAGAAAAGCAAAACAUUUUUGUAACACUUUCGGCUACAAAAGCACGAAAGACUAAUGUAUUUGGGGGGAUUUUUCAUUCUUUUUGAUAUUAAUAAAAAAAAACCAAGAGUUUCAAAAGGUGGUUGUUUUUGUCCUUUUAUUUUUUAUUUUGAUAAAAGAAAAAUAAAUAAGUAAAUAAAACUUACCGUCAGUCCGUCUUCCAUCACCGCUGAGAAAAGCUCCGCUUACCGAACGUCUUAGAAUCCAUUGGAGUUUUGACGAAAGCUCGGAGAAAAGCUCUGCAAAGACGAAGACCUCCCUUCGUGGUCAAUUUCUUUUUUUUUUUUCUCUCUUGCAUCUUGUUUAUUUUAGACCCUAGAUCUAGGUUUUCAAAAGUGUUUGUUCCUUUUAAAAAAUGGAGGAGAUUAGAAAGGAAAAAAAAAGAUUUCGGGCACUCUGGCCAUCGUCUACGGCGGGGCCACGGCAGAGGGCCAUCGGACCCCUUGGCCGGCCCAAAAUCCCUUUCAAAGAAAAAAAGAGAAAAGCAAAUUUUUUUUAAAACAAAGAAGUUAAAUGAUUUUUUGUCAAAAAAAAUCAAAUUAUAUAGCUUGUAAAAUGGCACCGUUUCGUGCCUUGGCUCCAGACGCUAAACAGCGUCGUUUUGAAGCAAAACGGGCCGACCCGACCCGACCCGCUUCCUCAGGAUCCGCGUGUUUUGAACAAAUGGUCUAAUUUCGUAGAAGGCCCUUUCGCUUUUAUAGCACCCUUCAAUUUAGUCCUUUUUUUAUUUUAUUUUCUUUCCUUUUAAUUUUUUCGCAUAAUUUUAUUCGUAUUUCAUUUUGGUCCUCCACAGAACGGUUUGUUUAGAGGACCUAGGAUAAUUUCUUGAUCGACUCCCCCUCCUUUGGUGUGCGUUUUGUUUAAGUCAUUAUUUAGGUUUUAUUAUUUAUUUUAUUACAAUUUAUACCUUUACUUUCGUUUGAGUUUCAAUUCAGUCUUUUACUUGAUUAAUUUCACAUUUUAUAUUUGUUUCAAUCAUUAAUGUAUUAUUCAUUUUAAAAGGAAGUACCAAACUUAAUAUACAUAUUAUAUUUAUUUGUUUAUUAUUCUUUUACCUUGUAAAAUAUUUAGAUUUAAUAUCAUGAAUAUUUAUUUUAUUUAUUUACUUAUAUAUGUAUUCAUUUAUUCGUUUAUUAUUUUUACAUUUAAAAAUUAAAUUGUUUAUAUUCUUUCAUGUGCGCAAGACAUAUUAUUAUUAUUAUUAUUAUUAUUAUUAUUUAUUCGUCCAUCUAUUUAUUAUCCCUCAUAUAUAUAUAUUCUAAAGAUUUAGAUUAUUCAUGUUUUUUUUACUACAUUUAUUUCUCUUAUUAUUAUUAUUAUUAUCAUUAUUAUUAUUCAUUGUCGUCAUCAUUCAUGUAUUUUAUUAUAAAUUGCACUCCCAAUUUCAUUCGUAUCUUAAUUUGAUCAUUGUAUUCUUGAUAUUCCUUAAUUAUUUUCCUUAAUAUUUAUUUAUUAUAUUUAUUUAUUUAUCCCUUUACUCACAUACACAUUAUUAUUAUUAUUAUUAAUUAUUUGUUUACAUAUGUUUUAUUAUAAAUUGUGUCUUUAAUUUCAUUUAUCUUUGGAUUUGAUUCUUUACUUUCAAUAUUUUUAUAAACUAUUUUCCUUAUAUUUAUUUUUAUUUCUUUGUCUUUAUUAUAUUUCAAAACCGGUACUGUCAUUUCAUGUGCAUGUUUUAUCAUUAGUGUUCUUGUCGUCAUCAUUGUUAUCAUUUAUUUUAUUAUUUAUUCUACUUUCCUCUGAUUAUUAAUAUUGGAAUUAAAGUGAUAUGCAUUAUGGAUUGCUUAUUAGUAUAUUUAUAUUAUUGCCACUUAUUAGUGUAACAUUCGAUUCAUAUGUCAUUUUUAUAUUACAUUAAUUCUUACUCAAAUACACAAAAAUAAAAUUUUUAAAAUAAGGCAAUAUUCCGUGUUUGGAGAUUCAAAAGAUCGUGCCCUAACUUACUGGGUUUCAAUUUUCCUCGUUUGACCCAAAUGACCGAAUAUCCUUUUAAAAUUAAAAUACAUGAGCUUUGAAAAUAAAAAGACAAGCUUAUUCUCGAGGGUUUAAAAUGUUAUGUCCUAACGUACUGGAUGUGGCAUUUUAUUACUUCGGGACAAGAAGGUCUUUAGCAUCUGUUUUGAUUUACUCAAGCAAAUUCUUCGUAAAAAUCAACCUAAAAAAGGAGGAUCGUAUUUUUAAUUCUUUUUGGGUUUUCAGCUUUCGAUGUUAAGACAUUAAUUAAUCAAUUAGGUACCAAUUUUGGGAGUUAUGAGGGUGCUAAUCCUUCCUCAUAUGUAAUCGACUCCCGAACUCGUUUUCUCAAAUUUCGUAGACCAAAAACACCGUUUUAAUAAACUAAAAUAUUUUAUUAAAGCGAAGCUGAUCCGAUCACACCUAAUAAAGAUCGGUGGCAACUCCCAUGUUCAUUUUCGUUUUCAAAAUCAAAUUCGACCCCGUUUUUCAAAAAAAAAAGGUUUCGACAGCUUGGUGACUCCACUGGGGAAUCAAAUAAGAGAGUCAAGUCACAAGUUGAUUUACUUUUGUCUUUUUGUUGAAAAUUGAAAAUUUGGUUUUGAUAUGUGAUCCUUUCAUUGCAUUUCAUCUGUUUUGUGUUACGAUCUUCAUCAUUUUAUUCAUAUUUUCUUUGUUUGUUUCGAGCUUUUUUGUAUAUCCCUGCACAUUGCAUUGCAUGAACGCGCGGUUACACCCUUUUAAGUGGGAGUGAGAAACUAUUCCUUCUUGAGGUCCUCACCUCCAUAUAGGACAGUGGAUCACUUUCGGAAUACAUUUGUACUUAUGUCUUCGUGAGAUUUUUAUCUCCAUGCAAUCAUAGGGAAAUGUAUCCCCCUGAACUGAACUCGGUCCGUAUGAGCCUAUAAUGGGUGAGGAUUGAGGAAUCUGCAGGUUCGGGUACCUUUUACUUUAGAACCAAACCGCAUAUAGAGAGCCCUAGGAGCUUACCCUAAGUAGAGGCACGCCAAAUCCUAGUGGUUACCCGGAUAGGUGCUCUAUUUUGUUUUUAUUUCUUCUGUGCUGAUGCGUUGAUUUUACUCUAAUCACAUUGCAUUUUCAUCGUAAGUGAUCCUUUCGUUGCAUUUUUAUUCGUCCUUGUUACGAUCCUUAGCAUUGCGGUUUAUAAUUGUUGUGUUGGUUUGAGUUUAGACAACUUUCUGCAUAUUGCAUUGCAUGAUUGGUCAAUCUUACCCUUUUAAGUGGGAGUGAGAAGCUAUACCUUCGUGAGGUUUUCACCUCCACAUAGGCUAGUAGACUGCUUCCGGGAUACAUCCGUACCUAUGUUUUCGUGAGAUUUUCAUCUCCGCAUGGCCAUAGGGAAAUAUAUUCCCCUGAACUGAACUCGAUCCAUAUGAGCCUAUAAUGGGUGAAGAUUGAGGAAUCUGUUGGUUCAGGUACCCUUUCCUUAGAACCGAACCACAUAUAGAGAGACCUAGGAGCCCACCUUAGGUAGAGCCACGCCAAACCCUAGUGGUCACCCAGAUACGUGUUUUAUUUUAUUGUUUAUUUCUUCUACACUAACGUAUUUUGUUUUGUUUUACAUUACAUUACAUCAUCAUAGAAAGAAGGUGUUGAUUCAUAUUCGAUUGCUAAAUAGAAGAGCUUGUCAUGGGAAAAUGGAUUUCUUGAUAAAGUAGAUUAUAAUAUAGUUGUCUGAAUAUGGUCCAAGUAGACACAACGAAAGAAGGCUGAUAGUCUGCGGAGUAAUACAAAACUUUGUUUUAUUGCCCGAGGAUUCAAGCCGACAAAGAUUAUUCGAGAGCCGUCACAUCUUGAUUUUCCUAAAGGAGCUAACGAGUAUAGCAGGAUAAGUAAGCAAUGAGUCGCGGCCUGGAUUAAGCAAAAAGAAGAUAGAUGAGGCGCCCUCUUGAAGAGUUCACGAGAUUUGAUCUUGACAUCUGAAUAUGAAGAAAAGGAUCGAUGUCUUCACUUUGAGUAUUAGGAUAAGGCCGAAUAUGUAAUCCGUUUUAUUAAAGAAAUUUGUUUUCUAGAAAAAGUUGUUCUAAUGGAAUUAAAUUCAGAAUCAAUGCCUCUCUUUCUUUGUGCAUGCAUCUCAUGCAUUUGUAUUGCAUUUUAGUAUAUGCAUUAGAUUUUCCCAAAAGGACCCUAAUUAGGUAAAAUUAUUUCAGAACCGACAAAGGAUAUGGACCAAAGGUUGGAGAGAAUAGAGCAAAUGCAAAUACAAAUGCAAGAGCAAUUGACCAAAAUUCGACAAGAUAUGCGGGAACAUAUGCUAGAAUUCCAAAGAAAUAUGAUGGGCUAGUAACCCAGUUACUAGCCGGACAUCUUGAAAAAAGGAAUGGCCCAGUGGUCAACAGUGGGUAUGAUAAUGAAGACAUCAUCUAUUCCCCAGGUUUUACCCCAAUAAGCGUCCUGAUCCAACCAGACGCGCAUCCGCAAGGGGUACCCGUCAUUAUCGGACCCCAAUAUCAGACUGAUACUUUGACACUGUUGAACUUCCCAAUGAGUUCAGGUUUUAAACCAGAGGAUGAUCGAGCCAAACCUAUUGUUCUUGCAGAAACAAAAGAAAUAGGAGAGUGGACUUUAAAGGCCUUGAAGAAGGAGGAAAAGGAAGCGAAUAGUACGAGUAGGUAUAACAAGGGCCAUUUGAAGCUGAUUACAGUAACCUAGCAAAGGACGGUAACUACCAGCUAUCAGGUCUCCCCAAGGCAAGAACCUGAUCCAAGAUCGAACUCAGAAAAACCACAGUUCGUACCCAUCCCAAUCACGUAUAGGGAGUUGUACCAAAUUUUGUUUGACGCACAUGUUGUAUCCCCUUUUUACGUAGAACCAAUACAGCAUCCAUACCCUAAAUAGUACGAUGCAAGCUGCCAAUGUGAAUACUAUGCAGGAAUCCCGGGGCCUUUCAUUGAGAACUGUACCACUUUUAAAAAGUUAAUCGAAAGACUUAUCAAAUUUGGUAUCAUGAAAUUCGAUGAUCCCUCUGGUGUAGAAAAUCCGUUACCAAGCCUUUCUGUUAAAAGGGUAAACAUUAUGAGUUCCAUGAUGGAUAGGGGCAUGAGAUCUAAGGGUACAUCAAGCUCAGGACUCUAAUGCAAGACUUGAUAUUAGAAAAUCUGAACAUUAACGACGUAUCAGAAGAGGGAACCCUGGAAUAGAAUUUUUUGAGCAUCUACCAUUACAUACUUGGGAGUGUUUUGAACCAUGAGACUAUGGAAGAGACCCUUGUAUUUUUAGAGCUAAUCUAGAGUAACAUUCAAAACACGCUUGUCGCUUUAAGCCUAGAAGCAACAAGAAUCCUUUUGUGAAAUAGGCUUAUAUCCAAAAUCCUUAUUUCAAUAAAAUGCAUUUUUGUUAUCAUUUUGAGUAAAUAUUUUUUAUUCUUUCCAUUUCAUACUGUACAAACAAUUAUUCUUAGAUUCUUUUAUUUUUUGGACAUUCUUUCGAAUAUUUUUCAUUCAUGAUCAUACCAUAUAAAUAAUCAUCAUUGGAAUCAUUUAUUCUUUGGAAUCUACCUUCGUACCUACAACAGGUCUCCAGAUAUCAACGACAUGAGUGACACUGCUACUGACCCAAAGUUUCUUUUUGAGCAAGAUAUGUGUCUAGAGGGAUAUUAGGACUUUGAAGACGAUAAAGAUUGUAGCCUAUCUCCUGAUUUGUUAAGGAUGGUAGAAUAAGAUAAAAAAAUGAAUCCUACCUUAUAAAAAGUCAGUGGACAUUGUGAGCCUAGGAGAAGAAUAAGGCAAGGAUCGGAGCCUGCAUCACCACAAAGACAAAGUGAAACGUCCAUAUCAAGAUAUACCUUGGCUACUAAGACCUGUGAAUGCUGUUAAAAGAGGUCCCUAAGCUUGUUAGAAGGACACAUGCUAAUGGCCAGGCUAAUCAUGAUAUUCGGAUUCUACUGGUCCAACGUAGAAAGGAAUUGUAUCAGUUAUGCCAUAAAUACCAAAUUUAUGGAGACAAGAUUCAUGCGUCCCUUCAUUUCCUCGUAGACUUUCUCUAUGUGGGGCAUGGAGGUUAUUGGGUCGAUCUCGUCGAAAGCUUCUAGCAGGCAUCAAUUAUUCCGCCAAGAGGGUAAAAGUCGCUUCAUAUGCCAAUAUUACAAAGUCGACAGUCAUCAGAAUUCCAAAAAAAAUAGAGAGAGAUCAUGUGCCAAUAAGAAACGCCAAAAAAGAUCAUAUCCAACUGCAUAAUGUCAAAAUUUCACAGUCUGUUCAAAGAAUAGAUGCCAUAUCACCUCAAAAUAAACAAUACAGUGGAGGUAGCAAAAAUGUAUAAGAAUAAAAACAACUAAGAAAGGAUCAUACAAAAAAUGAUUGAGACUUAUAAAGAUUGCAUAAAGAAGCUACCAUUUACCCUCUAUGCUUAUCAAACGUUAGCCAAGACUUUCACCGGGGCAACACAUUGCUCGUUUAUUUUAUGGGAUAGAAAUGGUUUUGAAGACGAGAUUUCUUUUCUCUGAGUCUUGUCAAAGCUGAAGUUGGAUAAGGCAGAAUAGAUCCAAUCCUGAUAUGAUCAGUUGAAUUUGGAGAAAGGAGGUUGAAAGCUAUCUGUCGUGGUCCAAUGCACCAGAAAUGAAUAAUGUGAGUUUACGAUAAAGAGGUUCGUCCUAGAGAAUUUCAUAAGGGAAACUUGAUAUUAAAGAAGCCUCUUCCUAUACAAAAGGAAUUCAGAGAAAAGUGGAUGCCAAACUGGGAAUGACCUUAUGUAGUAAAGAAGGCCUAUUCUAGAGGAGCGUUGAUGGUAAAGAUUUGCCCAAUCCAGUGAAUUCAAAUCCAGUCAAGGAUUAUUCUACCUAAAAAGAGAGGCCAAGGUGAAAACUUGUAAAGGACACCCUGAGACCAAAAAAAAAUCCUAAAAAAAGAGGAAAAAGAAAAAAGAGAGGCCAAUGCGAAAACCCACAAAGGGCGCUUUGAGACCGAAGAGGAUUUGAGUUGAAAACUCGAAAGGGCGGUUUAAAUUUGGAUCAAAGUGGGGCAUACAGUAGUCUUGCUCUGCCUGAAUUAACAAUGAAGAAGUAUGCUACGUCUUGGGGCAUCGACAAAGUACUCCAGAUCCCCUAAACACAGAUUGAGCUCAAAAUGAUCCUCAAUAAGUUGGUAUAAAGAAGCUCAAGCUGCGAUAACUGGGGCACCUAGUUUUCUAUUUUACCCAUUUUGAAUUGGCUCUCUUUGAUUACCUUAUUCUUUUCAAGAUACGUCCAAAUAAAUUUCCUUCUUAAUUGCAUUUGCUAUCCUUGAUUAACUUACUUGCUUCGAGCUAUGCUCUUAAUUAAUUUUAUUCUGGUUCAUUGUUAUGAUCUUUUUCAAGCAUUUUGCAUUGAAAUAAUGAUUAGUGGACUAAUAACACUUUCAUAAAAGGAGUUUCACAUAUUACUUUAGAAGCUUCUAAAUGAUAUAAGAACCUGAAACAGGACUAUUGUUUAUAACUCACCAAGCCUAAGGGUUGGAAAUAUUGGAGAAAGAUGAUUAUCUCUUUGGACUUUUUAUUGGUUGAACAAAAAGACAAGACAUUUCGUCGGUGAUAAAACCUCGACAAAUGACGAGCAAUGCCAACCCGAGUGUAAAAAGGGAUCAUUCUAAAAAAAAAAGAUACUCUGCAUUCAUGUAAAUAUCAAACGUAUACAUCUGGUCAUUACACCCAAGGAAUGGUGUAACAGAUCAAAUUAAUUGAAGAUGAUACAAAUCCUAUACCUCUAAGUUGCAUAGGAUGGAUGGAAGAAACCAAAUGUUAUUCCCCUGAAGUUAGAAUGGGAGGUACAAACUUUAUGUCCUAGCAGGUACAGCGGAAGGGACUCUGAAAUUGCAGUGGGGCAAGCUUGCUGAGCAGAAUAUAAUUGUUUCUUUGGGUUUUCUGUCAAGAAUACCAGCCAAAUAAGAGGGCGACGUAAUACGUCAGUGAUAAAGUCCUGAUGAACUAUGAGCAAUGAUGCCUUAAGCACUCAACAAGGAAUCAUUCUCAUGACAUUUCUGCAUUCAUACCAUUCAUCUAGUUAGGAGCAUUUGACUCAUUUUGACCAUGACAUCCUAAUUAUUUGGCAUAAAUAUAGGCCCAUAAAAUUGAUUUUACAGAUCAUAUCCCUAGAAGAUGGUGUAGCAACAUCGGUAAAUGCACAAAUCCUAUCUCCCUAAGUAGUAGUGGAGUAGGCUAAAGAUUACAGAUCAUGUCUUCUUAAGCAGUAGUGGAGCAGGUUGAAUACGGUGAAUCUUGUCUUCCUAAGCAGUAGUGGAGCAGAUUUAAGCCACCAUCCUAUCUCCCUAAGCAGUAGUGGAGUAGGCUGAAGAUUACAGAUCUUGUCUCCCUAAGCAGUAAUGGAGCAGAUUUAAGCCACCAUCCUAUCUCCUUAAGCAGUAGUGGAGUAGGCUAAAGAUUGUAGAUCUUGUCUCUCUAAGCAGUAGUGGAGCAGGUUUAAGCCACCGUCCUAUCUUUUUGAGUAGCAGUGGAGCAGGUUAAAAUCAACAAUUCUUAUCUCCUUGAAAUUCUAGCGGAGUAGGUCGAAGUUACAAAUCUCUUCUCCCUAAAAUGGUAUUGGAUCGGCUCGAAGCCACAAUUCGUCUCUCCUUGAAGUUCCAGCGGAGUAGAUUGAAGUUACAAAUCUCUUAUCCCUGAAAUGGUAUUGGAGCGGCUCAAAGCCACAAUUCGUAUCUCCUUGAAGUUCUAGCGGAGUAGAUCGAAGCUACAAAUCUUUUCUCCCUAAAAUGGCAUUGGAGCGGCUCGAAGCCACAAUUCGUAUCUCCUUGAAGUUCUAGCGGAGUAGAUCGAAGCUACAAAUCUCUUCUCUCUGAAAUGGCAAUGGAGCGGCUCGAAGCCAUAAUUCAUAUCUCUUUGAAGUUCCAGCGGAGUAGAUCGAAACUACAAAUCUCUUCUCCCUGAAAUGGCAUUGAAGCGGCUCGUAGCCACAAUUCGUAUCUCCUUGAAGUUUUAGCGAGUAGAUCGAAGCUAGAAAUCUCUUCUUCCUGAAAUUACAAUGGAACAGAUUGAAGCUAUAAAUAAAUAGAUCUUAUCUCUCCGAAUUUGUAGUAGAGCAGAUCAUAGCAAACCUUAUCUCCCUGAAGCAAUAGUGGAGCAGGUUGAAGUUAAAGUCUUAUCGCCCUAAAUUUGCAAUAGAACAGACUGAAGAUAGCGAAUCUUAUUUCCCUGAAGUUACAGUGAAACAGAUUGAAGCUAUAAAUUACAGAUCUUAUCCCUAUAAAGUUGUAGUAAAGCAGAUCAUAACAAACCUUAUCUCCCUGAAGCUGCAGUGGAGCAGGUGGAAGUUACAAGUUUUAUCUCCCUAAAGUUUAAGUGGAGUAGAUUGAAGUUAUAAUGGCAAAUCUUAUCUCCCUAAAGUUGCAGUGGAGCAGAUGAAAGCCACAAACCUUAUCUUCCUAAAGUUGCAGUGGAGAUGGUUAAAUAUAAACAAAUCUUAUCCCUCUGAAAUUGCAGUGGGGCAGAUUGAAGUUACCAUGUCAGGUUUUAUCUCCCUGAAGUUGCAGUGGAGUAAACUGAAGAUAGCAAUCUUAUCUCCCUGAAGUUGCAGUGGGGUAGAUUGAAACUACAAGCCCUAUCUCUAUGAAUGGCAGUGGAGUGGAUCGAAGCAACGAGAUACAGUGAACUGAAAUGAGGCUACUUGAAGAAGAAAAGCACUGAAGAGGACAAGAUUCUGCAAGACCCAACAAAUUUGACCAUUUUUAAAGUCUUUGCUUCAUUCUCGUUACACGACAACGAGCAAAUAGGGGUAGCUGUAAAUGCCCAAAUUUGACCGGGCUGAACGAGCCCAAAUCAACAAAAACCAAAAUCCAAAAACAAAUAAACAGUCCAUUUUCCACAGCCCAAAAUCUAAACCCAUUAACAAACCUAAUUUACAACAGGGCCCAAUAGCCUAAAACCUAAACUAAAAUUUAGUAAAUCAGAAAACCUUAGGUCCCUAUGCGCCGUUGCCCAUGUGCGAUGUACUAGCAGCCUCCGCACCUUCCGCUUCCCCCAUGUGCCUUGUCGGUGCAUCCAACGCCCGAGGACUGACCUCUGCCCCGUCCCAUCACUUCCAUCAGCGCCUGCAAAUAGCAAAAGAGAACGAGCAAAAACAACAAGCAAUAACAAAGAAAAGCAAAACAUUUUUGUAACACUUUCGGCUAUAAAAGCACGAAAGACUAAUUUAUUCGGGGGGAUUUUUCAUUCUUUUCGAUAUUAAUAAAAAAACCAAGAGUUUCAAAAGGUGGUUGUUUUUAUCCUUUUAUUUUUUAUUUUGAUAAAAGAAAAAUAAAUAAUUAAAUAAAACUUACUGUCGAUCUGUCUUCCGUCACAGCUGAAAAAAGCUCCACUUACCGAACGUCUUAGAAUCCAUCGAGGUUCUGACGAAAGCUCGAAGCAUAGCAAAGACGAAGACCUCCCUUCGUGGUUGAUUAUCUUUUUUUUUCUCCCUUGCUUCUUGUUUAUUUUAGACCCUAGAUCUAGGUUUUCAAAAGUGUUUGUUUCUUUUAA